UCAGCUGCCCUUACUAAAUAUGUACAGCUGCAUGCAGUAUGCAUACAACUUUGACCCUCUUGCUAUAUGCAGGGGAUUGUGGGUCAGAAUAGCCAGACAAGCAUUCUGGCUUUUCAUAAUGCAAAAUUUGACCGGAUGCAGUAGGACGUCCUGGUAUUUUUGGCAUACUGCAUUUGACAUACUAUGCGUUCGGAGUUU